CGUCCAGACUCCUACGGGAGGCAGCAGUGGGGAAUAUUGCACAAUGGGGGAAACCCUGAUGCAGCGACGCCGCGUGAGCGAUGAAGUAUUUCGGUCUGUAAAGCUCUAUCAGCAGGGAAGAAAAUGACGGUACCUGACUAAGAAGCCCCGACUAACUACGUGCCAGCAGCCGCGGUAAUACGUAGGGGGCAAGCGUUAUCCGGAUUUACUGGGUGUAAAGGGCGUGUAGGCGGGAAAGCAAGUCAGAUGUGAAAACCAUGGGCUCAACCUGUGGCCUGCAUUUGAAACUGUUUUUCUUGGGUACUGGAGAGGCAGACGGAAUUCCUAGUGUAGCGGUGAAAUGCGUAGAUAUUAGGAGGAACACCAGUGGCGAAGGCGACUUUCUGGACUGUACCUGACGCUGAGGCGCGAAAGCGUGGGUAGCGAACGGGAUUAGAUACCCUGGUAAG
rnacentral:rRNA from 1 species